rnacentral:lncRNA from 1 species
CAACAAUUUCCAUAUUUGGUCAUUGAAAUUUCCAAGGUGAAUCAGCAACUAUAUUAUCACUCUUAAUAGAAAUGAGUAAAUCUAACCAAUGUUCACUGAACUUUAAACUUGUUACUACUUACUCACUCAUCUUUCACGCGUUAAUGAAUACUCACUCAUCUUUCCAUAUAGUUAUCCAUCCACCACUCGUCUCUUCAAAUAAUUUGGUGAUUUUUGCAGCAACUUUCCAACAACUUCCGACCAUCAAGAUCGUCGGAUUUUGAUACCGUUGGAAAGGCUACGAUGUCCUCUUCAAUUAUCACCCAAAAUCUCUUCAUAACUCCAAGGGAUUCGCCUUUUCGGGAUACUGAAUUUGUGGGUUUAUUCCGACCGAAUUCUUUGGAGUUGUGGGAAAAUUUUGGGUGAUAAUUGAAGAAGACAUCGUGAGUUUUCCAACGGUAUCAAAAUCUAGCAGUUUUGGUGGUCGGAAGUUGUUGAAAAAUUAUCGCAAAGCUCGCCCAAAAAAUCUGAAAAUCUGCUCAGAUUUUCAGAUUUUUUGGACGACUUUUGUGGCAAUUUUUCGAUCGAAUCCCUUGGAGUUAUGAGGAGAUUUUGGGUGGUAAUUGAAAAUGACAUCAUGGGCUUUUCAAUGGUAUCAAAAUCCGAUAGUCUUGGUGGUCAGAAGUUGUCGGAAAGUUGCCGCAAAAAUCGCCCAAUUAUUUGAAAUGACAAGUGGUGGAUGGGUAAUUAUAUGAAAAUAUGAGUGAGUGUUCGGUAACGCGUGAAAGAUGAGUUAGUAAAUAACAAGUUUAAAGUUCAAUGAACAUUGGUUAAAUUUACUCUAAUAGAAAUAAAAUAACUUCAUUUAUGAUACUGCAUAUUCGAAAUGUUCUUCAUGACAUAAAGAAAUCAGCUUUGCAAAAUAAAGAAAUGAUGUAUAAUAUAAAAAAUGCAGUAGCAAGCUUAAGUUUCUUCACUUUCACUUCGAUCCACCAGUCAGCCACCCAAAUGAGCUUGAGCUACAACAGCUCUGCCACCGCUUUAUUUAUGCUCCUGAAAGCAUUCUUCGACAAUGGUCUUUUUAGCACAAAACAUAGUGCCUAAGAAAUCCCUUAAUAAAUUUUGCGAUAUUUGUCCAAAUUCAAAAAUACUUUUAUCGGACAAAUAUCAAAAAUACUUUACUCACGAAUAACUUAUAUAACAACAAAUAACCAGAAAAAAAAAUUGCCCCUCAAGGCAUAUUCCAACUGGCAAAGAUGAGGGCGCUUCAAGGCUGGCAGAUCAGAGGUCGUGAGUUCGAUUAUUGAAAGGCUUUUGGAAGGCAGAUAUUUUCCUGGAAGGCAGGAGCUCUACUGGAAGACAAGGUGCAAAGAUAGGAAAUGACUUGCUUGACACUUUGGUAGAUCAGUUGGGGGGGCUCUUGAGCACUGGUCAGUUAGGGGUACAACCUGCGGUUUAACCUGUCUGCAGUUUGAGGGGAUAAGGUGUAGACUCCAAAAUUUUGUCACUGUAAGGUGGAUACCUGAAUAUCAAAAAAAAAUAAAAAAUAAAAACCCAGAAAAAUCACUUAAAAGAUCAUAUAAAAACUAAAAGUUCGGAAACCCUAAAAAACGUUUAGCAAAUCAGCUAGGGAUAAAGAAAAACCAGUUUAAUCAGCUCAACUAAAUCAAACCCAUUUCAAAAACCUUUUAAAAAAUUGAUUUUAAUCUUGUCUAUUGGGUUGUAAAUGCAUAACUAGUAUGAAAUUGACACCGAGUCCAGAUAAGAAAAAAAGAACACCCAACAGCACAACAACGACUGCCAAUGCAAUCGCCAUAGCCUUGAAAUCCCCCAACUUCAGACUAUGAUUUCUAUGUAUACGUGAGAAUAGAGAAAGAAAAUUAAAAUAAUAUAUUGAUUUUAAUUCAUUGAUAACAUAGGGAGGUAAGAUAUAUAAUAAAAGAAGAUGAAAACCUAUUUUAAGAUUCAUAAAUAAUAGUUGAUAGACUCAUGGAAUGUCAGAGUUAUUAGUAAGAUUGAAGAAAGGUGCACCUCCUGGGUACCCAAUUUCAGCC